rnacentral:lncRNA from 12 species
GCCUCCGAGCGGUGGGGGGGCGGACGGGCUGAGUGGGGUGCCACGGCCUCCCAGUGGGUCUACCAGGCCACUGAGCUGAGAUGGCCUUUGUCGGUCGGAGCCACGGCACGGGGCGGGGGGCGGGGUGGGGUGGUGACUAGCUCUGUCUGCCCACCACACCGGGAACUCCUGGAGGGCACGGCCGCCAAGAACUUACAGGAGCAGGUGGGGACGCACGCCCUCCACUCCGCCCCAUUUGGGAUGAGUCCUCUGCCUGCAGAAGGACACGGAAAGGAAAGAAAGCUGUCCCUGUCUUUGCCGGAGACUUCUAGAACUUCCAGAUUGAAGGGAAUGCUCAAUGGCUCCAUACUGCCCUCAGGAGAAACUCCUGGAGGACAGGGCAGCCUUGUUAGUGUUUCCAUGUCACCACGGCGGAAUCUGAGGCCCAGGAGACUUGACAGGGCUCCCAGACCCAGAAAAAGGGAGCCAGAACAAGAGAUCCCAGAACACGGGAAAGACGGCUGUGGCUGAAGUCGUAUCUGGGUUAAAACCCCAGGAGUGCUCCUCUUUAAUUUUUUGGUACAGCAGGAUCAAGGAAUCGAUUCACUCUGGUUAUGCUUCCUCCCAUUGUUUCUGUGGGCCGUGUUUGAUCUGUGUUUCACGUGUAGAUCUGCUAUCCACGCUCUGAAAGAAAUAAUAUAUUCUGCGUUGCACUGGGUCAGGCUCAACCAUGAAAGCCCCUUUUAUUUUAUUUUUUUUUAUUUUUUGGAUGAUUUCAAAGACACACACACACGCACACAUACACACGAGCACACAGGCGUAUAUACAUGCGCG